GCUAAACUCACGCUGUCCCGCAGCUUAUAUUUUUUUUCACAUUCUCUCAUUCACACUCUGCUUCGGCCUCUGCCUCUGCCGCGAGUCUGCAGUGUGUUGGUCUAGGGAAGGGGGGCGAACUAAAGGAGCGUGUUGGUGUGAGAAGUGUUUUAGAUGUAGAUGACAGAUGAAAACAAAAUGUUAAAUUUGACAAAACACCGCUAAGGUGCAAAUGUAGUACUGAGUGCCGGGUAUAAAAGUUGUGACGCGUAAGAAGCGUCUCACUUCUAGUGUAAUUUCAAAG
rnacentral:lncRNA from 1 species